AUACGUAGGGGGCGAGCGUUGUCCGGAAUGAUUGGGCGUAAAGGGCGCGUAGGCGGCCCGGUAAGUCUGGAGUGAAAGUCCUGUUUUUGAGAUGGGAAUUGCUUUGGAUACUGUCGGGCUUGAGUGCAGGAGAGGUAAGUGGAAUUCCCAGUGUAGCGGUGAAAUGCGUAGAGAUUGGGAGGAACACCAGUGGCGAAGGCGACUUACUGGACUGUAACUGACGCUGAGGCGCGAAAGUGUGGGGAGCAAACAGGAUUAGAUACCCUGGUAGUCCACACUGUAAACGAUGAAUGCUAGGUGUAGGGGGUAUCGACCCCUUCUGUGCCGCAGUUAACACAAUAAGCAUUCCGCCUGGGGAGUACGGCCGCAAGGUUGAAACUCAAAGGAAUUGACGGGG
rnacentral:rRNA from 1 species